rnacentral:lncRNA from 1 species
CUCAACUGCUAUUGGUAAACCCACAGUCUUCUGCAAUGCUCCUGUGUGUGAAAUUAUUUCCUCCUUGCAUCUCCACCAUACAUUAAGUUGUAAUGAGAGAAAAUGCAGGGACUGGUAAUAACCUUGGCCUGGACCAGGCUGUGUGGAGUGAAGGAUCACAUAAUGCCCAGCUGCAGGGAAACCUGCAGCUGAUUUCUGCUAUUUUGGGGCAGGAUCUUCUGUAUGUUGAUGUUUAGAAGCAUGCCUACCUGAGAUGUUCAUAUUAAUCAGAAGGAAAA